GACCAUUUGUGGGUGCCAGGGGUCGACGACAAUAGUGACGACGCCGACCUCUGCCACCUAGGCGCCAUAUCGAAGCUCCGGAGUGAUACCUCGGCGUCAUCUAUAUUAGACGAGACGUAUAAUAUCGGCGCCAAUAGUGAUGACACCGAGGUAAGGAUCCAUUUUCUAAAUUCAAACUGAAAAGUGCAUAAUUAUGAGAAACUUUUAAAAAACUAAAAAGCAAAAAAAAUCCCCUACUUCACCCCAUCCGUCGUCACAUCGCUUCGGCAUGACAUCAUAGCAGAUUGUAGUAACAGGAUGAAAUCCAAUCGCUCCAUUACUUCAAACAUGAACUGUAAUGGUGUCUGCAUGUCAAGUGUUUGUCAAAAUGACUAUAUGAAAUAUAUGGGCAAGGGUCAACAGAUUCACCCAUCAGUUAGUCCAUGUCAUGUUCAAAAUACGUCAGUUUGAUUCUUAUCAUUUUAACCUAUUCCAUUUUUAUAAUAUAUUUUGAUGAAUCUGAAUAUAAGAUUUUCUUUAUGGUUCAUGCUUUCUCUGAAUCUUUAGAAUUGUAUGCAUUUGUGUCAGAAGUAAGACCGACUUAUUUUGUGAAAGGAUAGAGGACUAUCAAAUACUAAGACACUUUAUACACUUAUCAAGAGUUUGUCGUCGGAUACGAGUGCAGUGACUCCUCCUACUGCUUCUUUGAAGAAGACAAAGGCUGCUCCAAACACGCAGAAAUCUUACCUUUAGGUUGAAGGCUACAACUAUGCAAGGCAAAUAAAAUUUUAAGGCAAAAGAUUGUUAAGGAUCAGUUCCUCGAUCUUGUUAGUGUUUGAAACAGAAGCGCGCUCAGUUUACAAAAAGCUCUACAGCAUUUACAAAACUACACUCAAAUCCAAGAGUUCAAAAAAAUGAGGUGAAUCUAACAAAUAAAUGAGGUGAAUCAGGUUGCCCAGUUGAGGAUCAUCAUAAAACCAAAAUUCUGCAGUGGUGUUGGGCCAUUAUGCACUGCACAACAGGUGGAAGAUUACAUUGCAACUCCAAAACCUAAUGGGUACCAAAGUCUACACACAAUAGUGAUACCAUUUGUUCCAUUUGGAAGUUCAGAUAAGAACAGAAGAUAUGGAUUUAAUAGCAGGAAGAGGCAUUGUUGCACAUACAGUGGACGAGGGGUAGCUUUGACCUGUUCGGCUUGGAAUAUCAAGCGGGAGAAAUGCCAUGGGGAACAUAAUAUGCUUGAACAACACAGGCUUUGCUGUAAGGGUUGGUUACCUCAAUGCAAUCCACGAGGGGCGAGAAGAGUUAUUUGUUGGUAAUAUGAGUUCUAGAGAAUUUGUUGAUACUAUCACCAGAGAUCUUCUAGGAAGCCGUGUCUUUGUGUUUACUCCUAAAGGCAAGGACAGCCUCAAUCCAGGAAGAAGAGACAAGAUUCAUCUGCAAUUCUGCAUCUUCAAUGUCUAGGAUAUUCUAACAUCUUAGUUUACAUGUUUUGUCAGUCAUGGCACGUGACAUUUAGGUAUAUUUGACUUGGGAUACUCAAGAUUUUGGUAACUAAGCGGCGUAACAGUACACACUUAAGGUGCUUCCCACCGUCUGCAGGCUGACAACAAAGGAUAGUAGCGGAGCUAGAUUGCUUUGCUGUUGUCUCCCUGUUUUUUGUUAGAAGUGGAUUUGUUCUUGCUUCAUUUUUGGGACAGUUGAAGUGCAUCUAGACUCUCUAGAGACAGUUGUGUUGCUAGAAUCACGACCAAAAGUAUUGGUCCAAUAUUAGGUGUCUGCUUGCUCAUGUAGACGGUAUUGGUAGAACUACUGAAGUUGGUUUCAAGAUUAGUGCAACGGUGACAUCAACCAAGCGCACGAGUUGCGGUUUUUUCUGAAAUCAUUUGAAUUAUGGACAGUGAAAGGAUACCCCCCUUGUUGGCUC